UACGAGGGGGGGCGAGCGUUGUUCGGAAUUAUUGGGCGUAAAGGGUGCGUAGGCGGUUUGGUAAGUCUUAUGUGAAAUCUAUGGGCUCAACUCAUAGUCUGCAUGAGAAACUGCCGGGCUUGAGUAUGGGGAGAGGUGAGUGGAAUUCCUGGUGUAGCGGUGAAAUGCGUAGAUAUCAGGAGGAACACCUGUGGCGAAAGCGGCUCACUGGACCAUAACUGACGCUGAUGCACGAAAGCUAGGGGAGCAAACAGG
rnacentral:rRNA from 1 species